UACAGAGGUCUCAAGCGUUGUUCGGAUUCAUUGGGCGUAAAGGGUGCGUAGGCGGCCUUCUAAGUCGAACGUGAAAUCCCCGGGCUCAACCCGGGAACUGCGUCCGAUACUGGAAGGCUUGAAUCCGGGAGAGGGAUGCGGAAUUCCAGGUGUAGCGGUGAAAUGCGUAGAUAUCUGGAGGAACACCGGUGGCGAAGGCGGCAUCCUGGACCGGCAUUGACGCUGAGGCGCGAAAGCCAGGGGAGCAAAGCGGG
rnacentral:rRNA from 1 species